GUUCGUGGUCAGUAACUGGGGUUAAGAGAGAGAAAGAGAGCGCAGGGGAAAAUGUCGGUGCGUUGGUGGGGUCCGUCGUGCGACUAGCGACUUUCGCCCACUGUUUCUCUCGUGAUUUUGUCGAACAUACUUUUUUUUUUAUUUUUCCGUUUCUCACGCGAGAACGAGUCGCGAAAAAUUGGUUGAUUUGUUUGAGUGUUCGCUAAAAGGUGGAUUGAAAAGAUCUAAAUUGACGGGUUUUUUGCGUCGAGAAUUUUUCUGUUAUACACGCGCGUGAGAGAGGAGCCAACAGCCAAAGCCUUCGAUCGUUAUAAAACCUAUAUACAUAUACACAUACACGUAUAUAUGUAUAUAUAUACCUUAACCAUAUAUAUAAAUAUAUAUUAGUGUGUGUUGUGCGUUCCGUGCGUUCGGGGAGCGCGCGGUGUUUUGUGACCAAACGGCCGUACAGAUCUAAGAAAUUUCCAACGAGCCCGAGCAUAGAGACACCGUGUACAAAAGAGACGAGAAAGCAUGGCGGCCCUCGGAAUACUCGGAAAAGUCGAGUUCGUUGUGGGCGGCAAGUACAGAUUAAUGAGAAAAAUUGGCUCCGGAUCUUUCGGUGAUAUUUAUCUUGGCAUCAAUAUUACAAAUGGCGAGGAAGUCGCAGUUAAGGUGGAAAGCGUCAGAGCACGUCAUCCUCAGCUGCUCUAUGAAUCGAAGCUGUACAAGAUAUUGGCGGGUGGUAUUGGAAUACCUCAUAUGCGCUGGUAUGGCCAAGAACGAGAAUGGAACGUCUUGGUUAUGGAGUUACUCGGCCCCUCGCUUGAGGAUUUGUUCACCUUUUGUUCCCGGAGAUUCACCAUCAAGACCGUUCUCAUGUUGGCAGAUCAAAUGAUCGGCAGGAUCGAAUUUGUACAUUGCAAACACUUUAUACACAGAGAUAUCAAACCCGACAACUUUUUGAUGGGUAUCGGUCGUCACUGUAACAAGCUCUUCAUCAUCGACUUCGGUUUAGCCAAGAAAUACCGGGAUGGACGUACGCGACUUCACAUAAUGUAUCGCGAGGAUAAAAAUUUAACCGGAACAGCCAGGUACGCAUCGAUAAACGCCCACCUUGGUAUCGAACAAAGUCGUCGGGAUGACAUGGAGUCGCUUGGUUACGUUCUCAUGUACUUCAACCGAGGUUCGCUGCCCUGGCAAGGUCUCAAAGCUGCAACCAAGAAACAAAAAUACGAGAAAAUUAGCGAGAAGAAAAUGUCCACCCCCGUUGACAUAUUGUGCAGGGGAUUCCCCGCGGAGUUCGCGAUGUACAUAAAUUACACAAAGGGAAUGCGUUUCGAGGAAAGUCCCGAUUACAUGUAUCUUCGUCAACUCUUUCGAAUUCUUUUUGGUACGCUCAAUCAUCGGUACGAUUACACGUUUGAUUGGACGAUGCUUAAGCAAAAAAUGUUGCCGAGUGGCGUUACGGUACCGCAGACUUCACCGACCACGGGACAACAAGGUAUAGCAGCAGCAGGUGAGGCCGCAACGAAAAAGAAUGCUUGCGGUAGUGUGACUCGGCAGGCGGUCAACAACACUUCCAAGAAAGGUUAGGGUUAAUCUUCUGUCAUCUGUCCGUCCGAUGAAAAAAGAACGAAAGAGAUGAAUGAGAAAAGAAAAAUGAAAAAAACGUAACAGACGAAAAGAAAAGAGAAAUAACUCCUUAAUCCCUUGUCGAAUCGUCACCGAAUAAUUUCGCCCGCAAGGUCAUUAACCACCACCGCCAUCGCUAGCAAAAUCAAGCCAACCAACAAAAUACCUCCUCGUACAUCGCCUGUACUUUCAUGUAAUGUCAACGUGGUGGUGGCUAUCGAAAGAUAUACGAAAACCAACAAAAUAUGGCGUUUACAAAACACCAACAACCACAAAGAACAAUAACAAACAGAACAGAAAAUUUCAUCGACUUAAUAAAGAAAGUGUCCACCAAUCCCCGUCGUGUUCCAUGUCCUUUCCUCCUAACCCUUCCCGUUUGUCCAUAAUAAUUUCUUUUUUUUUUUUUUGUUUUUUUUUUGUUUCAAUAUUUUUUCCAAUUUUUAAAACGAAAAGAAAAAGAAUGGAUAACUUCCCAGCUGCGUGACAAAUGUAAAAUAUUGACGAAGGAAACGACGACAUUCGCGAUUAAAUCGAUGUAACCGAAAGCUUGGGGUUUCGAAGGAGAGUGACAACUGUCAGGAUCUUCGAUCAUCACUUACGCGCAGCCGGAAUUCUGGGAUUAAAAAUUUGUUUGCUUCGGUUAUUUGAGUGAAAGAGAAUAUGAGAGAGAGAGAGAGUGAGUGAGUGACUGAGAGAGUGAGAAAGAGAGCGAGAGUCAGGAAAGUAGUGACUGUGUGAAAGCGUGAGGGACAAUGGAAAAAACGAAAAAAAUUCGAGGACAGAAGGAAAAAGGGAAAACGCAGAGCAAGAGAGAAAGAGAGAGACAGAGUUCAGGUGAGAAUCUCGUUCUCUAUUUUUCGUCAUCCCUUUCAUUCUCUGCUUCGCAAUUCAUCGUUGAACUGCCAUUUUCUUGCGUACUCAAAAGCGCUUAAGAAUUCCUCACAAAAAUCAUUCAUUUCGACCGAAUUUUUCGAACUUCGCGCUUCCACCAUCGUCCGAUUCUUUUUUACUCGAGGGAGGGGGGAGGGAGGAAAAAAUACACAAAAAUUCGAAUUUCUUUCGUAGCAGUUUCAUCGACUAUUCCUUCAUCUCUCCCAAAAUCUCGUACCUCGUACCCUCUCCUUACAUGGUGCACGAUAGACACACAUUAUACAUAACACACUCACGAAACGCUCAUAAUUAUAUGGUAUUGGGUGUUUCUACGUUGAUCAACGUUUAAACGAGGGUGGUUUCAUUUUCGUUGAAACUGUGGAAAAAAAUGAAAGGGUUAAAGUCAAAAAUGCAAUCGCUGAUUCUUCGUCAAUCGUCAGGAUAAAUAUCGCAAUGAAAAAUCGUUUGGAAACAAGUAAUUCCAGCUGGGAAAGUUUAUUUGUCCGUUGCAACAAUGAAUUUCCGUAUGACAAGUAGCACAAUUUGGAAAACACGAACGGAUUAGUAUUUCGAAUGAGGUUGGAAUUGGGCAAACGAUUUUCAUCGUCAGGCACAGAUGAAAAUAGAUUUUAACUGAAUUUUAAAGCGCCUAGAUCGUUUGGGUUGCCUGACGGUGCGAAUUUAUCGUGACGAAUGAAAUAAUUGACCUGGACUCCGAAUGAGCAGUGAAGAAAAAUCGUCAUUGCCAAUGAACUAAAGCAUCGAACCGCGAUCAGCUUGAAAAUACUAACAAACUUAACAUCAUGAUAAAAUAAGAAAGAAAAGGUGUGAAAACUGAAGUGAAGGAAGGAGUGAAGUUCAUGCAGCGGUCAGCAGCUCACUUAUUUUCUAAUCAAAAACGUUGCUUCGUAUCUGUUACAGGUGCACCCUAAAAAAAUCGAUUCGUACUGUACGUGACAAAACAAAAGCACCAAUAAUCCCGAAAGUUCUGGAGUAUCUCGAAAACAAAUUUAAAAAACAAAACGAACUCGAAUGAAUACAAACAAACAAACAAAUAGUUCAACACGAAACACCGCCGGAGCAAAAAUACGCUAAAAGGAAAAAAAAAACUAAAUGAUUUGAAAACAAGAAACAUUUGUGUACCAGACUCUGAAAGUAAAAGGAAAAAAGAAAAAAUCAUUAUCUCCGACUGAGAAAAAGAAGACAAAACGAGAGCAAGCUGAACAUAUAUCACACACAUACUAUUAAUAAUUAUAAACAUGUGGAAACGAAGGACGAACCCUCGAAUUCGAAAAUAUGACGUUGUGCCAGAAUUUUUCUUUUUUCUAUUGUGCACUGAAAAUACGCAAACGUCCUCGUCUCGAAGUUUCCUCUCAUUCGCUCUCGCUCUCUUUCUCUCUCUCUCUCUCUCUCUCUCUCUCUCUCUCUCUCUCUCUCUCUUACUUUCAUACUCUCUCAUGAAUUUUACAAGGGUACAUAGUAAUUCAUAUUGCCGUAUAAAAACUUCAUUUGUCAAUCGUGACUCGCGUUCUUAGUUUCAUUAUUAUAUACGAAUAACUAUAAUAUGUUUAAAGAGACAAGAAAAAUGGAGGAUAAUUUGGAUAUAAGAAAAGUAUGUUUUUUUUCUUAAUUUUAUUUCUUUUGUUUUUCCGUCAUAUGUACCGAAGAUUCUCGAUCUCGUUGUGGUAAAUGUGCGCGCGCGUCAUCAAAGUCAAGUAUGGCAAGUGAUAUAUACAUGAAAUAAAUAGUAAAAAAAAAGGAGAAAUAAUAAUCAUCAAGUUGAAUUUUAGAAAAAAUUAUAUUUUUUAUCCUUCUUUCACUCACGACCGAUUCAAAUUCAAUUUACGAGAUUAAGGCUCCCACAAUGUUUCGAGCAACAAAACAGGCCUUCAUCACAGUGUGGGGCUUGAGCUCAGUUUGCUUCGUCAGAAAUAAAAAGAGCUCCACCAGGCUCCCUUUCAACUUUCGUUAUUAAAAAUUAUGUUGAAUUCUUUGCGAUAUUUUACAAAAAUCCAACUCUGAACGAGCGACGUUUCGGAGUUAUUUUUUCGCUAUUCUCUCGUCAUUAUUCAUCUUCCGCGGGUUCAUCGUUACGCCACGAUUCCUAACUCCUAUAUAAUCCAUAUUAAUAUUAUUACAAUUUGUUUUAUUUCCAUUUUUAUUUUUCAUUCUUCUUUCGCUUAUGUAUGCUACUAUAUAUAUAUGAUCAUAAACAAAAAAAACACAGAAACACCUCCACACAACGACGGGGAUACCGCGUUCAUUGAAUAUGAAAACGCUGAGAGAAUGAAUUUUAAAAAAAAAAAAAAAAAAAAAAAGAAACGGGGCUAUUCGUAGCGAUCGAAAUACGAAAAUGAUGCGAACGUUGUUAUGUGGACGAAGAAAUGAAAAGUUUAAAAUGAUGAGAUGAGAAAAAAAAAUAUUGAAAAGAAGAUAACAAACGGAUGAUAAAAUGUCGCAGUAAAUAUAUAUGUGAAGAACCAUUGAGUGAUGCUGUGCUUGAAUGAAUUGGUACGCGUCUCUGCUGCGUGUUUGCCCGCGCGAAUGCGACUACGCAUUAAUAAUUAUCGUAUUAAGGAAAUUUUAAAAGUAAGAACAAAACAAAAAAUACAAUUAAACGAAAAAAAUUUCAAAUAUAAAUAAAAUAACGAGGGGGAAAAAAAAGAAAAAAAAAACAAAAAAAGAAAACCGAAAAGAAAAGAAACCACACAACAAAUACAAGUAAUGAACAAUGAAAUAAUUGAUAAUUGAUAAAUAUGAUGGAAUACAUACGAGUGUGCGUGUGAAUUUGUGACUGCCGGAGUGAAUGCGUGUAUCAAGUAAAUUAAUAAAAUAAUUAUACAUGCACAUGCUAUUGUCUAGUAUAUUAUACAUAUAAAUAUAUAUAUAUAUAUACAUAUAAACACGUAUGCAUAUGUAUAUAUACGUACAUAUUAAUAUUAUUUCUAUUAUUAUGAAGAAAAAAAAGGAAAAAACAAACAAGCAAACAAAUGUUACAGUGACGAAAGGGGAAACGAAAGAAUAAUUUACUCGUUAUUUCACAAAAUACUUCAUCGAUGAUUACGUCAAUCGUUCAUUGCUCUCAUCCUAUACUCUUUCCUAAUACCACCCUUUUCUUCUUCAGAAAUAAAAAGGAUGAAACAUUAAACAA